GCUGGGCAUGAUGGCUCACACUUGUAAUCCUGGCUACUCAGGAGGCUGAGGCAAGAGUAUUGCAAGUUCAAGGCUAGUCUCAGCAAUUUAGUGAGACCCUGUCUCAA
rnacentral:sRNA from 1 species